rnacentral:rRNA from 1 species
UACGUAGGGAGCAAGCGUUGUCCGGAUUUAUUGGGCGUAAAGGGCUCGUAGGCGGUUCGGUAAGUCAGUGGUGAAAUCUCCGAGCUUAACUCGGAAACUGCCAUUGAUACUAUAGGUCUUGAAUUAUCUGGAGGUGAGCGGAAUAUGUCAUGUAGCGGUGAAAUGCUUAGAUAUGACAUAGAACACCAAUUGCGAAGGCAGCUCACUACGGAUAUAUUGACACUGAGGCACGAAAGCGUGGGGAUCAAACAGG